CAGGAAGUGAGGGAGUGAGAACUCUAACCGCUCACUUUUGGGUAAAAGCAAGGCAGCCGUGUAAACUGGUGUGAAAAGCAAGAUAUGAGAACUUCGAGAAACCCUUUAAAGGAUAUGCUGAUACAUCCAAAAAACAGAAAUAACAAGCAGAGCUGGGCCUCAGUGGUUUGGAGACCAAAUCUUCCUCUUUGCUUAUUUCUUAGACAUUUCCAGUAGCUCCUGAAAAGUUCGUGCAGGGUCUAAUUUACCUGUUUAGAAGACUACCUUUUUUGUGAAUACUGUUUGAUGCAGUUUUCAUGCUCAUGAAACCGAAGAUAUUUGCUGCAUACCGUGUUUGGGGCCAAGAGAAGGUGUAAGAGGCUGGAGAUUUUCUUAUAGCUUCUCCUUACUUUGACCUUUCUUUGUGGUUCUGUCCAAGUAUGGUGAAAAACCUGCAUAGUCAUUUUGAUAAUGACAUUUUUAAUAUUAUCUGCCAGGAUAUGCUCCAGGGACCUAGCCUUGUCAUUUUGGAUGGAAAAAGGUGGGGACCAAUGUGAUCACAAUACAAAUCAUUUGGUCUCAGUUUGUAAAUAAAAUCUGUGAGGUUUAGUCAUUGAGAGAAAGAGAACUACUUGAUGUCAUAUAGAAAGUGCAAGCAGAUUGAUACAAACCAGAUAUACUGGGUUAUAUUUGUGGACAUUUUACUUUAAUGUACUAUUCUUUUAAAAAGACCCUCUUUUUCUGAUUACAAAAAUAAUACAUGCGGGCUGGGGAUUUAGCUCAGUGGUUUCGCCACUUGCUGCGCAAGCACAAGGACCUGAGUUCGAUCCCCAGCACCAAAAAAAAAUUAAUAAUAAUAAUAAUAAUACAUGAUUAUUGGGGAGAAUUUGGAAAAUAUAGAAAGGAGUUAAGAAAAAUAAUGGAAACAGUCUGUAAUCCACAGUCUUGGUGCUCAAAGAUAAUCA